rnacentral:rRNA from 1 species
UACGAAGGGGCUAGCGUUGUUCGGACUUACUGGGCGUAAAGCGCGUGUAGGCGGACUUGUAAGUUGGGGUGAAAUCCCGAGGCUCAACCUCGGAACUGCCUCCAAAACUACAAGUCUGGAGCAAGAUAGAGGCAAGUGGAAUUGCGAGUGUAGGAGGUGAAAUUCGUAGAUAUUCGCAGGAACACCAGUGGCGAAGGCGACUUGCUGGAUCUUUGCUGACGCUGAGACGCGAA